rnacentral:tRNA from 1 species
GAGAACGUGGUGUCACUGGAUUGCAUCUCAGCUUACGAACCUGAGGGUUGAGAGUUCAAGUCCCUCCGUUCUCG